GAUGAACGCUAGCGGCAGGCCUAAUACAUGCAAGUCGAACGGUGUAGCAAUACACAGUGGCGCACGGGUGCGUAACACGUAUGCAACCUACCUAUUAUUGGGGGAUAGCCUUUGGAAACGGAGAUUAAUACCGCAUAAGACAGUGACAUGGCAUCAUGUAGCUGUUAAAGCUUUGGCGAUAAUAGAUGGGCAUGCGUCCAAUUAGUUAGUUGGUGAGGUAACGGCUCACCAAGACGAUGAUUGGUAGGGGAUCUGAGAGGAUAAUCCCCCACACUGGCACUGAGAUACGGGCCAGACUCCUACGGGAGGCAGCAGUAGGGAAUAUUGGGCAAUGGGCGGAAGCCUGACCCAGCCAUGCCGCGUGCAGGAUGAAGGCGUUAUGCGUUGUAAGCUGCUUUUUUAUAGGAAGAAGAAUCCCUUGCGAGGGAAAGUGACGGUACUAUAAGAAUAAGCACCGGCUAACUCCGUGCCAGCAGCCGCGGUAACAC
rnacentral:rRNA from 1 species